GCAAAACAUACGCAGAAGGGAAGAAAAGAAACAGGAAAACAGAGAGGGGGGAAACGGGAAGAAGAGGAAGGAGAAGAGAGGGACGGGAUGGAAGGGAAGGCGCCGGGAAGACCGUCGUCGCCGUCGCCGUCAGGUGAAGGUGGAGGAAUGACUGAGAGAGAGUCUGCCGUCAGAGAAGCAUCGUCGGCGUUGCUGCUGUGAACUAUUUCAGCUACUGCCCUGGGAGUGAGAACGCCGUCGAACAGAAUGUGAGAAGGGAGAGGAGUUGUGUUCUUUAGCUGUCGCCGUCGUUGCCGAAACCAGGACAAAUUUACUAGAGAUAGGAAGAACUAUUAGAGUUGCUGCUGCUGCUGCUAGUUUGGUUCGAGUCUGUUGCUGCUAUAAACUAAAACAAAAGAGGGGUUUGCUACGCUUAAUUAUCGAAUUUCGGCUAAUCGAGAACUGAUGAGGUAAUCAACACUCAAUUGAUGGUUUCUCGGUAAAUUUUUCAAGAAUGGGUCAAGCAUUUUUCUCCAUAUUUCAGCUGGAAACAAAGAAAUUGUUAUGGCUUAUUGGCAUUACAUUUGCAGCAUGUAAAUUAAAUUAUUAGUUUUAUUAUAGAAUUGUAAUUUUUUUAAUUAUAAUUAUAGCAUGUAAAUAAUUUAUGUAAAUCAAUAAAAAAUCAAUUCUUUUUAUACUUUCUUAUUUUCUCCCUUCAAAAGCGUGGCUAUGUCUCCUAUUGCCACGCUUUUGAAGUGUAGCUAACACUAACUCAAUUGGCACGUUUCUAAAAAAGCGUGGUGAAAAG